AACGAACGCUGGCGGCGUGCCUAACACAUGCAAGUCGAACGGAAUUUGAGAGCUUGCUCUUAAAUUUAGUGGCGCACGGGUGAGUAACGCGUAGAUAAUCUGCCUGACGAUCUGGGAUAACACUUCGAAAGAGGUGCUAAUACCGGAUAAGCCCACGGAGUCUUUGGAUUCUGCGGGAAAAGGGGGGGACCUUCGGGCCUUCUGUCGUCAGAUGAGUCUGCGUACCAUUAGCUAGUUGGUAGGGUAAUGGCCUACCAAGGCGACGAUGGUUAGAUGGUAUGAGAGGAUGAUCAGCCACACUGGAACUGAGACACGGUCCAGACUCCUACGGGAGGCAGCGGUGGGGAAUUUUGCGGAAUGGGCGAAAGCCGGCCGCAGCAACGCCGCGUGAGUGAUGAAGGCUUUCGGGUCGUAAAGCUCUGUCGAGGGGAAAGAAGUGUACUUUGGCUAAUAUCCAUUGUACUUGACGGUACCCCUAAAGGAAGCACCGGCUAACUCCGUGCCAGCCGCCGCCGUAACAC
rnacentral:rRNA from 1 species